ensembl:lncRNA
UAACUUUCCCCAGAUACUCUGGACCGUGACUUUAGUUUUAGCGCUUUUAGAGGAGUUUUAAAAAAGCAUGUUAAACUUUCUUGUAUUAAAAUGGGUCGGCUAAUAUGCUUUCUUGCACUAAAUAACUAUAAAAACAUCAAAGGUUUGGAUAACUGUUAGCUGUGUAUUUUGUAAUGCCUAUUGUAUUUCCAUUUUGUUAGCUCUAUUUAAAGAGCGGUAUUAUCAUGCCCCAUUUCCUGUUAGAUAGUUCUAUUUGUCUGCACUACAGGAGGCAGGAGAUUUUAGGUCCAGAAGAAAUUAUCUCUCAGUAAAUUACUCCUAACUCCAUUACUGAAUACUAAGCACUCUCCCCUGGCUGUGCGAGCAGCUUGAAGAGAUAACAUUGCAAUUUAUUUAUUUGUUUUGUCCCACGUAUAUAGGUGACACACGGACUCAUCUGAGCAGAGACAGCGAUAACUGACAGUGACCUCCCACCGGCCUUCGUGAAGCAGUUCCUCUCCAGCUGGAAUAGUCGGAGAUUUCCGUUCAAGGAAACAUCAGAAGAUGAAAAUGAGGGCAGUAGCCUUACUGGACCUUCAGUGGCAGCUCUGCGACCCGUGUUCCCUUGGGCCUCCUGCCCACCCCUAUAUAUGGCUUCCAUUUCCCUGCAGUAGAAAUGGUUUGGACACUUGCAAUCCUCUGCAAUGGGAGAAAUUUGCAGUGUGAGACAACUUUUGAUAAACAAGUUGAGCAGGAUUAUAACUGGACUGGAGAAGAGUUUAUAGAUGGAAAGCCUGUAAGUAGAGAAAUUCUUAUUUACCUGUUUAAAGUUAGCAGAUCUCUCUUUCCGAGUGGCAGCACAUCCAGAUUUAUCCUUCAGAAUAAGGAGGAAAGUAACUCCUAUGGUUGGCAAAUUUGCAGUGAGGACCCCAUUACAAGCUGCUGGUAUAUGUUAUAUGUUGUCUCAUAUAACUUGAAAUAAAGGAAUCACUCACACAUUCAUAAUCAAUACAAUUACCACUACUUUACAUGAAUUAAGUAAUUUGUAUGGUAUUACUGUUUGGGGCAUUUCUAUCCCUAUUCAAAGUACUUUUUCAGUAUUUCAGCCCUACUGAUGGUAAAGGCAGGUGCAUGCCAGUUACCCACAAAACCAAGGCAAAGCUCUAUGGGGAAACUCUUUUAUGUCUAUCUAGAUUUGAAUUUGUAGUCCCUUUCCAAUUACUGUGCUAAUUGUUUAAGAGAUUGCUAGACUAAAAAAGUUUUUAAUCGCUAAUCUGUUUUUGAAAGGAACUAUGGGCUCAAAACCCGAACUACAUACUUCUUAAAUUAAUUUUCUUCAUGAAUACUUCUUUCUCAAUACAGAUUUGUGAGUCAGAACACCCUACUGUGACUGUUUCUUUUGUCUUUUCUUCAAACACCUGGCCUAUUAUUCUUUCCCCCCACCCCCCAACAAAAUUGCUCUUUCUUUGUAGGCGAGGUUCUGAUGAUAUUAUGCUGCUGGAAACACAGAAAUUUACCCAACAUCCAAUGCUAUGAACGUGGGGCAGAGGAAAAAAAAGAAAACUAAACAGAACUCACAAUUGAGCCAAACAUGCAAACUGUGAUAGGAAUAUUUUCGAGUGCUUCUUGAAGAAUCUUCACACAAAACACCUCAACAAAUUCUAACAUGGGGAAUAAUGUCAGGAGGUUUAAUUCAGCGACAGAGUUUUUCUCACAGUGGGCUAAAGCCUGUAGAAAGGGAAAAGAGGGCCGGCAGUGUGCUCAGAUCUUCUGUGCUGCUUUGAAAAUCCUCCCCCAGAUUUUUGCUUUCAGGAAAAUCAGACAAACCCAGUAAUAAUAAUAAUAAAAGCAGGGCUCCAGGCCUGCUUCAGCUGAAGCCUGUGCCAAGAGGCUGUGUUGGUGUCACACAGAGAAGAAUUAGGCUGCAAUCCUGACAAGAAUUCUGCAGUCUUAAUCCAGAUCAGUGCAGGCUUUGCCUAAAUUGUAGUGAAUUUGUUAUCCCAUAAGGCAAAAUGAAGUGUCUGGAAAUAAUGGUGCGUGAGAAGCACCCUGUAAAUUACAGGCCUGGUUAUACUCGGAAAAGGCAGGAAAGGAAAUGCUCCUGCUUGGUCUGUUGUAAGUGUUGACCCAUGUGUUACUAUGAAGCAAGACAGAAGGUGUUCCAGUGAAAUUCUCCCCAGCAUUUCUUAAAUGUCAUUUUAAUGUAUAUUUGCAAUAAAUUUUAGUUGUACCUUUUUAUUUACAUUUAAAAUGGAGACAUAUUUCUGAACAAGGAAUCCUUCCUCUUGGUGAGAUAGAUAGUUUGUUAAAAAUAGCAGUAAUUAACACAAAACGCUUGUUGAAUUUUGGAUACAGUUGCACUUUGAUUCUUAGAAUGAUUUCAAUGUUGUCCUGUCCAUUUGCUUUCAUAAUACCAUUAGCUUUCACAGCUGGAUUUUCAAUUCACAUGAAAUAAUGGAAAUUUCUUGGAAGGACUCAUAGCAGAAAAUGUGAACUCAGGUUAAAGAAAAUGUCUCUGCGUUUCAAACUAAACCCAGGUGAAGCAUCGGCAAGCUGUGUUCUCUGCUAAUGCCUGCUGGCACCAUCUUCCACCCAAAUGGCUCAAGAAUGCAGUGCUGCAGUAGGAGAGGAGAGCGUCUUAGAGGAAGGCCUUCCUCUAGGAAAAAUCUGUACAGAACAGCACCAAAUCAGCCCAGCAGGGGAUAGCAGGGGAACCAACCCUGGUAUCCAACCCCAUUGUUUCCAGAGAGGGGUCUGUGGCAUUUCUAAAAGUGGCUGUGUGUAACCACGUAAUGGUAGGUCAGAGUCUGCUGUGAGCUUAGUGCAAGAAAUUGUGUAAAGUGCUGUCUCUUAAAUCGUUUGUGCCCAUAGCUAUUAGAAAAACUUUGAUAAGUUACCUCAGAACUUAACUGCUGAAACUACAGGAAUUUUACCUUGUGAAUUUAUUAUUAUUAUUUUUUAGGUGAAAUAUUGUUGGCCCUUUAGUCAAUGAUAAAGCUUCUGAUGUUUACAAAGGUCAGCCUUCAGCAGUUGUUUUUCAUGUGCUGCUUCUAGUGAAUUUGUCUAGAAAUGUAAUUUGGCAAAAAUAGCUAGGUUUUAUUUUUAGUGCAAAUGGCUCACAGUGAAUGCAAGACAGUUCCUGCUUCUUUAAAUGAAAUAAUGGCACAGUCUGCUGUCCUGUAGAGCCUCCUCAUGUUGCAGGAGUGACACUGGCAAGGAAAAAGGAUGUACAAAUAUGGGCUGUGUAAUGAGUUUUCAAACCACUGACCUAUCUAAAAGGUUAAUGUGGAACAAACCCGUUGCUUGAGCGGGUACUGUGUUGUGCUGCCAGUUGGCAGCCUGGGCAAUGGGAGUGGUUUGGCAGAAGCCAGUGGCUGUUGUGAAAGAAAACACAAACUUCUUGUGAGUGGUCCUGGUUAUGUCACUUUCCAAGCCUAGCCCUGCUCAUCAGGCUGAGCAACAGAAGUGUAGUCUGGGUAGAAAGCUUGCUUUUCCUAACAGUAAAAUACCACUGCCUUCUCCCAGCGAGAACCACAGUGAGAUUUAUGAAUCCAGAAAUACUUGUUGUUGCUUACGACUCAAGGGUAAUCAAAGCAAUUAGUAGUUCAGAGGAAAUGAAAAAUGGAUCUGCCUGAUGCAGUGAUCCUGUGUUUAGGUUUGUGAGCGAGAAGGACAAACUCAGGGAAGUAUAAAGCAGCAGCAGCAGUUAGGUAUCUGGAGCUCUGCACUCAAAUUGCAGCCUCAAAAGCAUCUUUGAUAACUUCAAGAGUAGUCCCAGAGUUGUUGUGAGAAAGAAGUUCUGAAGAGUACAAAAUAUCUCCUCUGAAUUUAGCAUUUGUGAAUGGUUUUUAGGAACCAGACAGUGUCAAUGGAAGUGUCCCAUGUUCCAUCAACCCACAGAAAUGGAGCUUGCUAGGACUGCUGCUGCAGAUGUAGGCAAGCGUAACCUGCAGGUGUCCUCAGCUGUUGGCCUUUCUGAUGUGAUUGCUAAGCAACGAUUAGCACUUACAUAACUACCAUUUGCACUGUCAUGAUGGUUUAAUCAGUCCUCACAACAGCCCUGUGAGGUAGGCAAGUAAGCUGCAAAAUGAGGAUGCUUAUCUUUGCUUUACAUGAACCAGACCAAGAGAUAGGAUUGCUGUUCUCAGUCCCAUUUCACAGAUGGGGAGGUUCAGCACAAAACUCUGAAAUGACUUGUCUGAGGCCAGAAAAUGAGUUCAGGAUUUUGCUGAGUUGCAGAUGUCUGGUCAGUAGGGCUUCUGUUUAUAUCUAUGCUAGAAUCAGUUCAAGGAAGAAUUUAACAUUUCACGUUUAGUUUUCACUUGAAUUCUCAAUCUACUCAAGGCAUGAGACAUGGGAAUGCACAAGUAACCUGUUAACUUAGUGAUCUGUUAAUAUCUGCCACUAGUCAUGCUAGAAGUAUUUAGUAACCUCAUAUUUACAGUAUUAGCUAUUUACUGAUAUGUAGAAAUGCACAUAGAGAACUACACGCCAUUUACUGCACACUAACAGCCUAUUUUCACAGGACAGUUUUCAUACACAAAGGAUUUUUUUAAUUAUUAACCAUUGCCACUGAACAUAAACUUUUUUUUUUAAGUUUAAAACAAGAUAUGCUUUAUACAAACCUGGUUCUGAAUCAAAAGCCUAUAUUGAAAAUACUCGACAGCUCCUUUCUGCUAAGCCUAACAUGCGAGAUUUCACUGGCAUCUGCACUUCAACGUGAAGCAUGGUUUCAAAGUUAAGAACAUACGAUGUACCAGUUCUUAUGUACUGUAUGUAAGAGUUCCUCCUGAGACAUGAGUUAAGAAUCACUUCUAAGACUGAAGUUAUUCCUACAAAGAAUUCUGAAUCCUUGAACCAGCAUCCAGUAACUUCGGGGAUUUCACAGCUUCAGUUUCACGCCAGCCUGAGUUAUAAAGAUGAUUUUUUAGCAAGGUUAUUUCCUUGUUGCCCAUUCCAUUUUGUCCAUUACAGGUGGAGGGAGUGCAGCUGGGUGCGUGUGUUAGCUUUCUUUUUUAAACAUCUCUAACAGGCGCUGCUUGUUGGAGAAAGCAUUCCCUUCUGUGGC